rnacentral:rRNA from 1 species
UACGGAGGGUGCAAACGUUGCUCGGAAUCAUUGGGCGUAAAGCGCACGUAGGCGGCGCGUUAAGUCGGAUGUGAAAGCCCCGGGCUCAACCCGGGAAGUGCAUACGAAACUGGCGCGCUUGAAUAUGGAAGAGGGUCGCGGAAUUCCCCGGUGUAGAGGUGAAAUUCGUAGAUAUCGGGAGGAACACCAGUGGCGAAGGCGGCGACCUGGGCCAAUAUUGACGCUGAGG